UAUAUUAAAAAAAUCCAAACUUAAGUUGUUCUUCAAUCUUCAACUAAACAAAAAAAAAAAAUUGUUCUUCAAUCUUCCCCUUUUAUUGUUUGUUGGCAAUGAUAUACUUUCCUCUCUCACUAUUCUGCAACUCCUCUCUCUACAAGAAUCAGAUUUUGCAACAUCAAAUCACCAUUUUUACUCCAUUAAUUUUGUCUUAAAACCAUGCAGUGGGACUUAAUCUUAUGGCUAAUUGCCCUCUUUUCCAACAUCGGCCUCCUUGUUAUUCUCAUUUACCAGAUUAUAUGUUUAUCGGAUUUGGAGGCUGAUUAUUUGAAUCCAUACGAAUCAUCAACGAAUAUCAAUUCUAUGGUUUUGCCGGAGUUUGGAUUGCAGGCUGCCUUUUGUGCUCUUUUUCUGUUUACUGGUCAUUGGUUCAUGUUUCUAAUAACAUUGCCGGUUACCAUAUUUCAUGCAAGAUUGUUUACCCGCCAAGAGCAUCUUGUAGAUGUUACAGAGAUUUUCAGAGCACUUAGCUCUGAAAAGAAACACCGUUUUAUCAAGCUGGGCCUUUAUUUGUUGUAUUUCUUCUUGGUCGUUCUUAGAUUUCCAGCCGGUUCCAUUUCCAGUUUGCCGAUCUUCUCAUCCAAGCAUGGAGAUUUAGAUAUCCGCACCCCUAUUCUUGAGUUCUAGAUAAUGUGCCACUUGACAUAUAUAACCAAAUUAGAGAGUUGUAAAGUCUGAAUAUCCUGGCUUGUCAUAGCUAUUUAUAAUUCAUUAGCUGAUGAAGAUGAAGCAGUUCGUGGAUUUUGGCUAUUCUAGAUCCUCACUUUGAAAUUUAUUAAUGGGUUUCCCUGUAAGUCUGUCUUGUACUGUAUCUGUCGAUUUAUUACAACACAAAAGAAAUGCUAUCAUAACGCAUAGACCUGUGAAUGAAAAGGUCACUCUUAAGUGCAUUUUCUUGAACAGUAUCUAAACUUGGAUGGUAAAAAGCAUCAAAAUUUUUGGCUUCAUCAAUAUACCAGUAGGUGGUGAAGCUGAGGCCCUAUUCAGAUAUGCCAAUCGUGGUGAUGAUUGACACUGUGGAAUCUAGCUUCUUAGUUGAUUAAGCUUAUCUAACAUGCCAUUUUGAGUUUGAACAAAACGGUUGUGUUGUGCAAGAAAGGGGUGCCAUUUUCUUUAGAAACCGAAAUUUAUGUUGUACCUUUAGUUGUGCUUGUAUUAUUUAUCCAGGUGCCGAGUUUUGUGAAUGACUGUAUUUUUAGCCUUUAGUUUGUAAGGGAGGAAUUGGAUGAAUGAGGUUGCAGACUUGCGUCUAACUAUAUAGCAUGAAGUUGGGAAUGAAAGUAGGAUUCUAUCAUUAAAGUUGUAGGAUGUUUGAUCAUUUUGGAAAAUUUUAUGUCUAUUAUUGGUGCCUUCAAAUGUAAAUGGUUUCUCGGCAAUAUUAUCGACGACUGUGGACUGACGAGUGACUAGAGCGUGGCAAAUGAGUUGAAAUUUACAUGUACUUAAGGAGGGGGUGGAGGAAGAGGUAGUUUCAGGCGAGGA